ensembl:lncRNA
CGCAGCCAGUCAGUGACUCUGUAUAGUUGUCUAAUAUUUGUGGGGCAUAUUAUUCUGUUUUAAUGUUACUCUUGAAUGAUAAAUAUAGUUUAUUUCGAGUGUAUUUUGAACAAAUCUAAGAUUUACUUUGAAGUCCGAAGUGUAGGAAUACAGGUGAAAUCAAUCAUUGACACAGACAUGGUGGUGUAGCAGGAAGAUCAGAAUGCUGUGAACCAAGAGAUUGUGAUUUCAAAUCCCAGCUCUCCAGGGAGUGCCAAAAACACCAGAGGGAUAUGGCGUCAAAUUUAUCUCUAAUGUCAAGCAAGAUGAAACAUCAUUGAGCAAGCAAUCAUUGAGUCAAGAGUGCAGAGGAUGGGUCAUGUGAGCAGAGGAUGGAUCCUGUGAGCAGAGGAUGGGUCCCGCAAGCACACAGGCAGCGGGGGAACGCAAAUUAAACUUGAGUUGCAAGUGUGACUUUGAGGGAGCAGAACAUCAUUGCUGCAUGCAAAAUAUACAUUUCUGAGCAGGGAUCAUGAUAUGUGGGGCUCCCUAGACCAGUGUUUCGAGGUAGGGAUGGACUACACUGUUCGUCUGAGCUUGCCCCUCUACUCUGCACUCAGUGAUAUCCGGUCCCCAUACACACUCAUCGACUCAUUUAGAACCCCCCGCCCACAUUGUUAAACACCUACACACAAGUGAGACUUUUGAGUAAAUCAUGCACUGAUGUCACUUGCAUAGAAAUGUUAUGUCACCUGGGAGAUAAAGGUAUGGCACUCCACUCCCAACCGUAAUGUAUGACUGCUUAAACAUCCUUAAACAUACCUGUAUGCUCAUUUAUGUGUUUCUUAAGUAAAGGUCUACGGAAGGUUUCUUAUGGCUCAAAAAUAAUGACAAGUGGCGUGGAUUGCAUAUCUCUGCUCAGUCCCACAUAGUGACAUCUGCCAUUCCAUAGUGAGGCAAACAUGCAACAGCUCUGUGCCAUUUUAUCUUUCCUUGAUUUAAAAAAAUUUAACCAGGCAAGUUUUUUAUUUUUUUUAUUUUACCUUUAUUUAACCAGGUAGGCUAGUUAAGAACAAAUUCUUCUUUAUAAUGACAGCCUACCAGGGACCAGUGGGUUUUUACUGCUUUUGUCAGGGGCAGAACAACAGACAAAUUUCAACUUUGUCAGCUCAGGGUUUUGAGCCAGCAACUUUUCAGUUACCGUCCCAACACUCUAACCACUAGGCUACAUGCCGUCCCAAAGUGAUUCCUUGAAUAGUUUUUCGGUGCCUCCUACUAAAACCCCAUUGGAGGAGAGGACCCAAGGUUCUUCCCCUCAGACCUCCAAUGGACUUUGAGAAGGAUGGGGAGUAGAUAGGAAGUGAGGAGGAGCUUAGAUUAUUUGGGACAAAGCUCAUGUCAUUGUUUUAGGAAUCUUAUGUUGAAUGACAUAUUUGUUAUCUGUUUGCACAAAUAUCUUUGUUCGACUUGUGCUCUUUCCAGAUGGCUCUGAAACUCCCAUUAUGAUUUGACUCAUGCAACACUGCCUGUACUCAAUAAAACAUCCAAUGUCAAAUUAAAAUAAUUUCACACUGUAAUUUGAUAGACAAUGGUAGUUCCCAAUCAGACAAUUACUAUAAAACAAAUAUGUUUUCCGCAGUUAAAUAUUUGGUUAAUGUAUGGCCUCAGUGCUCCUUUGAAUGCUGUGUAUACCAUGAUGACAUGUUAACUUGAGUUUAGCUGGUUAAUCAUAUUAAUUUCAGUUUAAUUCUAUUAUUAUGUACCGUUAAUGUAGCAGGUUCUCCGCUGUGUGUGUGGGUGCUCAAGCUUAAUAAAUACCCUAAAUAUUGGAUCCUUCCAUUAUAUCAAUUCCUGCACGUUCUCUUAAUUAGCCAACUAGUCCUUCCUUUCUUUCAAUCAUAUCAUUGUUAUGCCAUUUUUAUGUGUACCCAUUAUUCCCAUCCAUGGAGUCAUUAUAUUUAGCUUUAUUAAAUUAUGUCCAGUACAUAGUGUAUGAUGAAUGAACUUGUUCACAG